GACGGGGCUUAUGCUGUCUCCCGACCUUGGGCUGAUGCUCCUGUUGUUCUUUAUGCAGUAAAGCUGAUUUAGUUUGUUCUCCAACUGAUUCAACUUCUAAUACGUCAUUACAAUCUUCUCCUUAUGCUGUACCACAGUCCUCUGUACAAUUUCAUAUCCAAGCAGAAGUUAAGUUUGUCUGGACUAGAUAGAGAUAAAGUAUCUGGUCAAGCCUCUGCAGAAAUUCUCCCAAUAAUACCAGAUAGUCAAAACACUCCAUAAGUGGUCAAACUCAGUUCUGGGUGGACUACAAUAAGCUAAAAGAUUCUACCUUGGCUGAGCAGAAGCAGCGGGACCUAGAUAACAACAAGGAAAAUUCUCUUAGUGUGGAUGAACCGUCUCAGCAUAGGUGUACAGACAGUGACCCAGCAUCCUCUGCUAAUUCUUGCACCAACAGGCAGACUGCAAGUGACAACUGCAAACUAAAUCAAUCCAGCAGAUGAUGAUGCAAAUGAAAAUGGAUGACCUUCCAUACUUGUUUGGACAAAGAACCAAACUCAAAUACUUUGGUUGGGGAAACUGUGUUUCCUCUUGAUGAUGUCAAUUCAAGCAAAGAUAAGUGUACUUUUCAGAUGGCUUCUUCAUGUGUCACUGAGCUAUCUGAUUUAG